UGGGGAAUUUUGGACAAUGGGCGCAAGCCUGAUCCAGCAAUGCCGCGUGCAGGACGAAGCAUCUAUGGUGUGUAAACUGCUUUUGUACGGGAAGAAACCACCCCUCGUGAGGGGUAUUGACGGUACCGUAAGAAUAAGGAUCGGCUAACUCCGUGCCAGCAGCCGCGGUAAUACGUAGGGUGCAAGCGUUAAUCGGAAUUACUGGGCGUAAAGCGUGCGCAGGCGGUUAUGCAAGACAGAUGUGAAAUCCCCGGGCUCAACCUGGGAACUGCAUUUGUGACUGCAUAGCUGGAGUGCGGCAGAGGGGGAUGGAAUUCCGCGUGUAGCAGUGAAAUGCGUAGAUAUGCGGAGGAACACCGAUGGCGAAGGCAAUCCCCCGGGCCUGCACUGACGCUCAUGCACGAAAGCGUGGGGAGCAAACA
rnacentral:rRNA from 1 species